rnacentral:lncRNA from 1 species
UGCAGUCCAUGGACGCAACAUGGUUCAUGGGGUUGGACUUGCGUGUUAUAUUAUACAAUACAUAGUAUUGAUUAUUUAUGAGGUUUUAAAAUUUAUUUAGCAAUAAUUUUUCUUUGAAUAAAUAUAUAUAAUUUAAAACCAAGUAUAAUGAUAAAACCAAAAAGAGUAACUUAAUGCUCUGAAUAAGAUGCAUUUCUUAUUUUCUUCGAUUAAACUAAGUAAUUGUUGUACAUAUAAUUUAGUUUCUUACACGUCUUUCACACAUUUCUCUGGAAUUCUGGAGUUUGUUUGCCUCCUUAUAAAAUUUGGAAAAAUGAUGAAUAUUAGUAUAUCUCAGGUAGAUGUUAAAUAAAGCUCAAGCAUUUUGGCCUUGUCAACGAUACAUUGUUCUUAUCAAAAUAAUUCAAAAUUUGUUCGGCUUAUAGUAAAUAGUAAUAUUUUGACUAAGACAUUCUGGGAUCCUAAUCAAAUUUAAUUAGCUUGGAUACUACACUUUCUUGUGUAUUUCCAGAUACAUGCACAUCAGCACAUGCAUGUGAUGGAUUUGUAUUCAUUAACUAAAAUCUACAUACAUGUAUAGUAGUAGUCCCUAAAAUGAAAAAUACAAAUAGUUACUUUGCAUGUACAAAAUACUCCACGUACAAAAUAUUUUCAACAGUAAAAAGAAAUCUAACGUGACUAAUGCUAGCUCUCUCAUACCCAUAUUAAUUAUAUUUCCCAUUUCCCCCACUCAUUAAUAUAUAUGUUUGCAAGGGCCAUUAAGUUGUUUAAAUUAGGGUAUAAAGAAUUCAGAGUUGAGGUUAGGUUUUGGAAAUUACUAGAAAACAGAGGUAAGGUGUUCUGUGCCAUUUUAAUGGAGUUGUCUGCUUUCGAUGAGUACUGGAAGCAUCCAAUACAAAUGUUUAUGUUCAUGGGCUGAGAUGAGAUUGUUCUUGAGAAACAAGCCAAGCCUAGCUCCAAGGGGGUCAAAUUUUGGUGUUUUCUGUGCCUUGUCUACCACUUAAUUGUUUAACCAAAUUGGGAUGGGAUGUGAUCUUUGAUAAAUGAUGAGAGUAUCAUUUUUGUGCUUGCAUGUGAAUGUCCGCCAACAAACAUUCACGUCGGUCGAGCCCAUCUAUCUCUCCUACCGGCUUACGGUUUUGCAUCCUUUCAACACAACAUGUUUAGAUUAAAGGAAAGGAAUGAAAUGAAGGAGGGAAUAGUAUAAUUUUAGUAAUUUAUUUUAAGUGUAUGUUUGGUAGUUAUUUAGUGGUGG